rnacentral:rRNA from 1 species
UACAGAGGUGGCAAGCGUUGUUCGGAAUUACUGGGCGUAAAGGGCUCGUAGGCGGCCAACUAAGUCAGACGUGAAAUCCCUCGGCUUAACCGGGGAACUGCGUCGGAUACUGGAUGGCUUGAGUUUGGGAGAGGGAUGCGGAAUUCCAGGUGUAGCGGUGAAAUGCGUAGAUAUCUGGAGGAACACCGGUGGCGAAGGCGGCAUCCUGGACCAACACUGACGCUGAGGAGCGAAAGCCAGGGGAGCAAACGGG